rnacentral:rRNA from 1 species
AUUGAACGCUGGCGGUAUGCCUAACACAUGCAAGUCGAACGCGAACGUACCUUCGGGUGCUAUUAGAGUGGCGGACGGGUGAGUAACGCGUAAGAAUCUGCCCAGUAGUGGGGGACAACUCGGAGAAAUCCGAGCUAAUACCGCAUACGCCCUACGGGGGAAAGGGGGCUUCGGCUCUCGCUAUUGGAUGAGCUUGCGUUGGAUUAGCUUGUUGGUGAGGUAACGGCUCACCAAGGCGACGAUCCAUAGCUGGUCUGAGAGGACGACCAGUCACACUGGGACUGAGACACGGCCCAG